UCCGGAGGGUGCAAGCGUUAUCCGGAUUCACUGGGUUUAAAGGGUGCGUAGGUGGGCAUGUAAGUCAGUGGUUAAAUCUUUGGGCUUAACCCGAAAACUGCCAUUGAUACUAUUUGUCUUGAAUAUUGUGGAGGUCAGCGGAAUAUGUCAUGUAGCGGUGAAAUGCUUAGAUAUGACAUAGAACACCAAUUGCGAAGGCAGCUGGCUACACAUAUAUUGACACUGAUGCACGAAAGCGUGGGGAUCAAACAGG
rnacentral:rRNA from 1 species